rnacentral:lncRNA from 1 species
GGUCUGCUAAUUUACCUUAGUGAUGAGCUAAUGAUUUGACUGAGAUUUCUUUACGUUGCUGGAAUCAGACGUUUAGAUUUACCCAUGUGUCUACCAGUUGCCUUUCUUAUUAUUCAUUUUUGUAAUUUAGAUCUUUUGAGGUCAAUUUCUUCUUUUAGAAAUAUCAGUAUCCAGCUGGGCGUGGUGGCUCACGCCUGUGAUCACAGCACUUUGAGAGACCAAGGCAGGCAGCUCAUUUUAGGCCAGGAAAUUGAUACCAUCCUGGCCAACAUGGUGAAACCCCAUCGUCUCCUCAACUUUGGGAGGCUGAGGCAGGCGGAUCACCUGAGGUCGGGAGUCCGAGGGCAGCCCCAAACUGAUGUAUGAGCAGGUUUAUGGUUAUAAAUUAUCAGGGAAGACAUUUUUCCCCUCUAGAGCCAUGACUGAGCAGAAAGCUUUCCUCAUCUUUUUCAUUUGCCAAGGGGUGGAAUUUUUGGGU